GAAAGGCCAAUCAAACCGGGAGAUAGCUGGUUCUCCCCGAAAGCUAUUUAGGUAGCGCCUCGUGAAUUCAUCUCCGGGGGUAGAGCACUGUUUCGGCAAGGGGGUCAUCCCGACUUACCAACCCGAUGCAAACUGCGAAUACCGGAGAAUGUUAUCACGGGAGACACACGGCGGGUGCUAACGUCCGUCGUGAAGAGGGAAACAACCCAGACCGCCAGCUAAGGUCCCAAAGUCAUGGUUAAGUGGGAAACGAUGUGGGAAGGCCCAGACAGCCAGGAUGUUGGCUUAGAAGCAGCCAUCAUUUAAAGAAAGCGUAAUAGCUCACUGGUCGAGUCGGCCUGCGCGGAAGAUGUAACGGGGCUAAACCAUGCACCGAAGCUGCGGCAGCGACACUAUGUGUUGUUGGGUAGGGGAGCGUUCUGUAAGCCUGUGAAGGUGUGCUGUGAGGCAUGCUGGAGGUAUCAGAAGUGCGAAUGCUGACAUAAGUAACGAUAAAGCGGGUGAAAAGCCCGCUCGCCGGAAGACCAAGGGUUCCUGUCCAACGUUAAUCGGGGCAGGGUGAGUCGACCCCUAAGGCGAGGCCGAAAGGCGUAGUCGAUGGGAAACAGGUUAAUAUUCCUGUACUUGGUGUUACUGCGAAGGGGGGACGGAGAAGGCUAUGUUGGCCGGGCGACGGUUGUCCCGGUUUAAGCGUGUAGGCUGGUUUUCCAGGCAAAUCCGGAAAAUCAAGGCUGAGGCGUGAUGACGAGGCACUACGGUGCUGAAGCAACAAAUGCCCUGCUUCCAGGAAAAGCCUCUAAGCAUCAGGUAACAUCAAAUCGUACCCCAAACCGACACAGGUGGUCAGGUAGAGAAUACCAAGGCGCUUGAGAGAACUCGGGUGAAGGAACUAGGCAAAAUGGUGCCGUAACUUCGGGAGAAGGCACGCUGAUAUGUAGGUGAAGCCCCUUGCGGGUGGAGCUGAAAUCAGUCGAAGAUACCAGCUGGCUGCAACUGUUUAUUAAAAACACAGCACUGUGCAAACACGAAAGUGGACGUAUACGGUGUGACGCCUGCCCGGUGCCGGAAGGUUAAUUGAUGGGGUUAGCGGUAACGCGAAGCUCUUGAUCGAAGCCCCGGUAAACGGCGGCCGUAACUAUAACGGUCCUAAGGUAGCGAAAUUCCUUGUCGGGUAAGUUCCGACCUGCACGAAUGGCGUAAUGAUGGCCAGGCUGUCUCCACCCGAGACUCAGUGAAAUUGAACUCGCUGUGAAGAUGCAGUGUACCCGCGGCAAGACGGAAAGACCCCGUGAACCUUUACUAUAGCUUGACACUGAACAUUGAGCCUUGAUGUGUAGGAUAGGUGGGAGGCUUUGAAGUGUGGACGCCAGUCUGCAUGGAGCCGACCUUGAAAUACCACCCUUUAAUGUUUGAUGUUCUAACGUUGACCCGUGAUCCGGGUUGCGGACAGUGUCUGGUGGGUAGUUUGACUGGGGCGGUCUCCUCCUAAAGAGUAACGGAGGAGCACGAAGGUUGGCUAAUCCUGGUCGGACAUCAGGAGGUUAGUGCAAUGGCAUAAGCCAGCUUGACUGCGAGCGUGACGGCGCGAGCAGGUGCGAAAGCAGGUCAUAGUGAUCCGGUGGUUCUGAAUGGAAGGGCCAUCGCUCAACGGAUAAAAGGUACUCCGGGGAUAACAGGCUGAUACCGCCCAAGAGUUCAUAUCGACGGCGGUGUUUGGCACCUCGAUGUCGGCUCAUCACAUCCUGGGGCUGAAGUAGGUCCCAAGGGUAUGGCUGUUCGCCAUUUAAAGUGGUACGCGAGCUGGGUUUAGAACGUCGUGAGACAGUUCGGUCCCUAUCUGCCGUGGGCGCUGGAGAACUGAGGGGGGCUGCUCCUAGUACGAGAGGACCGGAGUGGACGCAUCACUGGUGUUCGGGUUGUCAUGCCAAUGGCACUGCCCGGUAGCUAAAUGCGGAAGAGAUAAGUGCUGAAAGCAUCUAAGCACGAAACUUGCCCCGAGAUGAGUUCUCCCUGACUCCUUGAGAGUCCUGAAGGAACGUUGAAGACGACGACGUUGAUAGGCCGGGUGUGUAAGCGCAGCGAUGCGUUGAGCUAACCGGUACUAAUGAACCGUGAGGCUUAACCUU
rnacentral:rRNA from 1 species